UACGUAGGUGGCGAGCGUUAUCCGGAUUUACUGGGUGUAAAGGGCGUGUAGGCGGGUUUGCAAGUCGGGUGUGAAAGAUCCAGGCUUAACUUGGAGAGGUCAUCCGAAACUGCAGAUCUUGAGUGCUGGAGAGGAUAGUGGAAUUCCUGGUGUAGUGGUAAAAUGCGUAGAUAUCAGGAGGAACACCAGUGGCGAAGGCGGCUAUCUGGACAGUAACUGACGCUGAGGCGCGAAAGCGUGGGGAGCAAACAGGAUUAGAUA
rnacentral:rRNA from 1 species